rnacentral:lncRNA from 1 species
CACAAGUGAAACUCCACUUUAUUGAACGAUGGGGUCUCAAAUGGGCUGCCUCUUUGCCACUCUUUUGGUAGUAUCAGUCUCUCUUAGCUACUUGCCGUUAGAAGCCUCCGCAAACAAAUACUACUACACAUCUCCUCCCCCUCCCAAGUACAAGUCUCCACCACCACCCCCGCCACCGGUUCACAAUUCUCCACCACCACCCCCGGUUUACCUGCCCCCGCCACCUCCUCCACCAGUCUACGUGCCUGCUCCGGCACCAACUCCAAUUUUCCCUUCUCCGCCACCUCCUGUCCCCAAGUCCCCACCACCACCUCACCCUUACGUCUAUGCAUCUCCCCCUCCUCCUUACUACUACUAGAAAGCGGCCAUGAAUAGCUCAUGCUUUUAUGGUAAUCUCAUUUAUUUUUAAAACUGUACAUGUAAAGACUAGUAGUUCAGAAUUACAUUAAGCAUUUCAAUUUUAAGCACCGUGUUCUGUUUAAUUGCGUUCCUAUUGAUUAAGUGACAAAUAAAAGAGAUUGAUUAAUUUGUUCUUGUAGGAGAGGCGAAUGGUAUCCGAAUAAAGAAAGCAAGGGUUUGAUGGAAGGCUUACUUGGAGCAAGAUAGCGAUCAAUCGAGUUGCUGCGUUUUAUUCUCUUUUAUCUUUGUUUUUUAAGAAAAAUAAACUGCCACACGUAGAAACAGAAAAUUAAGUUCUUGUCAUUUUCAUGCAUAUGGAUUGUUGCUGUGUGUGUCAAUCAAAUCUCCGUUGUGUCAUUUGUAAUUUUCAACCUUUAUGCAUGCAAAUGCGAGACCUCUUACGUAUAAUAAAAUUAAUAUACUUCCCAAGAUGGUCUUAUCUUGCGUUGACUUUUUACGUUCCUUUGGUGAUGAUUUUGACGUUUGAAAUUGAUGACUA